rnacentral:rRNA from 1 species
ACGUACGUACCUGCCCUGUGGACGGGGAUAACGACUGGAAACGGUCGCUAAUACCCGAUAGGCUGAGGAGUUAAAGGAGAAAUCCACCACGGGAGGGGUGUGCGUCUGAUUAGCUAGUUGGUGGGGUAAAGGCCUACCAAGGCGACGAUCAGUAGCUGGUCUGAGAGGAUGAUCAGCCACACUGGGACUGAGACACGGCCCAGACUCCUACGGGAGGCAGCAGUGGGGAAUUUUCCGCAAUGGGCGAAAGCCUGACGGAGCAAUGCCGCGUGGAGGAUGAAGGCUCGUGGGUCGUAAACU